rnacentral:rRNA from 1 species
UGCAUCGGAACGUAUCCAUUUGUGGGGGAUAGCCCGGCGAAAGCCGGAUUAAUACCGCAUAAUCUCUGAGGAGGAAAGUGGGGGACCUUCGGGCCUUACGCUGAUGGAGCGGCUGAUGUCGGAUUAGCUUGUUGGUAGGGUAAAGGCCUACCAAGGCGACGAUCCGUAGCUGGUCUGAGAGGACGACCAGCCACACUGGAACUGAGACACGGUCCAGACUCCUACGGGAGGCAGCAGUGGGGAAUUUUGGACAAUGGGGGCAACCCUGAUCCAGCCAUGCCGCGUGCGGGAAGAAGGCCU